GACGAACGCUGGCGGCGUGCCUAAUACAUGCAAGUCGAACGCAGUUGCGAACGGGGGAGUAAAGCGUAGGUAACCGCCUCAAUGCGGGGGAUCAAUAUUGGAAACGAUUGCUAAUACCGCCAACUGUGAGACGGAUCUGCUUUGCAUUAGUUAGUUGGUGAGGUAAAGGCUCACCAAGGCGACGAUACAUAGCCGACCGGAUAGGGUGAUCGGCCACACUGGGACUGAGACACGGCCCAGACUCCUACGGGAGGCAGCAGUAGGGAAUAUUGGGCAAUGGGCGGAAGUCUGACGGAGCAACGCCGCGGGAGUGAAGAAGGUUUUCGGAUCGUAAAGCUCUGUUGUUAGAGAAGCGUAAACUAACAAGAAAGGGACGGCUAACUCCGUGCCAGCAGCCGCGGAAUAC
rnacentral:rRNA from 1 species